rnacentral:rRNA from 1 species
AUGUACAUUCCUACAACAUAGAGUUAAUGCACCGAAUCUCAUUAGAACUCUGCAGUUAAGCAUGCUAAUGCUAGAGUAGUACUAGGAUGGGUGACCGCCCGAGAAGUCUUAGUGGUUUACAUG